UACAGAGGUCCCAAGCGUUGUUCGGAUUCACUGGGCGUAAAGGGUACGUAGGUGGUCAGGUAAGUCUGAUGUGAAAUCUCUGGGCUCAACCCAGAAACUGCAUUGGAUACUAUCUGGCUAGAGGAGUGGAGGGGGGACUGGAAUACUUGGUGUAGCAGUGAAAUGCGUAGAUAUCAAGUGGAACACCAGUGGCGAAGGCGAGUCCCUGGACACUUCCUGACACUGAGGCACGAAAGCUAGGGGAGCAAACAGG
rnacentral:rRNA from 1 species